UCCCAUGAUGAUGGUUGCAGCGGACACAUGUUUCAAGAGCAGGGUCCAACAGCUGCCGAUGGCGACGCGUGUCGAGGAAGAACAAAGAAUCACCUAGCGGGGAAAAGGACGAAGAUGGGUUUGGGACAUGUGACGAACAGUUUGCUCUUAGAUCUGCCGCUGAAACAAUGCCUCCCAGGACAGAACACUUCUUUCCAAAAAUUAGAGUAUCCAGGCCUGGAAAAACCUCGAUGUGAUAAGCUUGGUGAUAUUUGUGAAUGGUUAUAUUUUUAAAAUUCUGUACACAGCAUUGUACUAUUGUUCUUGGAGGAAAGUAACUGAAAACUAU